rnacentral:rRNA from 1 species
AUUGAACGCUGGCGGCAGGCCUAACACAUGCAAGUCGAGCGAGCGGCGGACGGGUGAGUAAUGUAUGGGGAUCUGCCCGAUAGAGGGGGAUAACUACUGGAAACGGUGGCUAAUACCGCAUACCAUCGGAUUAACCCCUAUGGGAUUAGCUAGUAGGUGGGGUAAAGGCUCACCUAGGCGACGAUCUCUAGCCGGUCUGAGAGGAUGAUCAGCCACACUGGGACUGAGACACGGCCCAGACUCCUACGGGAGGCAGCAGUGGGGAAUAUUGCACAAUGGGCGGAAGCCUGAUGCAGCCAUGCCGCGUGUAUGAAGAAGGCCUUAGGGUUGUAAAGUACUUUCAGCGGGGAGGCGUUACCCAAAGAAGAAGCACCGGCUAACUCCGUGCCAGCAGCCGCGGUAAUUC